CAGUAGCCGCGGGAAUACGUAGGGUGCAAGCGUUAAUCGGAAUUACUGGGCGUAAAGCGUGCGCAGGCGGUUAUAUAAGACAGAUGUGAAAUCCCCGGGCUCAACCUGGGAACUGCAUUUGUGACUGUAUAGCUAGAGUACGACAGAGGGGGAUGGAAUUCCGCGUGUAGCAGUGAAAUGCGUAGAUAUGCGGAGGAACACCGAUGGCGAAGGCAAUCCCCUGGGCCUGUACUGACGCUCAUGCACGAAAGCGUGGGGAGCAAACAGGAUUAGAUACCCGAGUAGUCCCUGUCUCUUAUAA
rnacentral:rRNA from 1 species